CGACCCGAACAGGAAAAUUUUGUAUUGGGUCGAGUUGGGCCUUAACUUGUUUGGGUAACAGUAAAAACAAGGCUUCAGCUUAUUUUGGAUCUAUCCGAGCAUGCUUGAAACAAGCCCACCAGAAACAAACAAGAUCCAUUUGAUCUUCUUGCUCCCAAGCCCACCCGAAACCCUAUCAUCUUCUUCCAGGGCUCCGGAUCUGCAACUGGCGAUCGAGUAGUGCGACGAGGAGGCAACUGGCGGCGACGAUUGGCGUCUUCGCCGCCGACGCCUCCCUGAUUGCGGCCGGCAUCCACCUCUCCUACGCCAACGUCGCUUCUCAGCAAGCCCACGCCAAAGCUCGCAACGACUUUGUCAAGUCUCGCCUCUGGAAGCUCCUCGACGAUUGACCAUCCUGACCCGCUGCCCCUGGCCCCACCCACAAGUGACGAUUUCUCUCUUCUGAGAGGAUCAUUAGGUGCCUUUAUGAUUUUGGGUGCAUCCUGUCCAAAACGUAGGAGGAGUGACACGGUUCAGAUAUGAAGAGAUCUAAGGAAAAUCACCGUCGGCUCUGACUCGGUUUCGCGAUCAAGAUUCUGAGGGGAAAGUGAUCGUUGGCUUCAUUCAUUUGCGGAGAUUCCGGCAAUU